GGACUAUCGUAUGGGAGAGGCCAAAAAAGAUUUUGUUGUUUUCGGUCAGUUAAACGCUUAAGGACAGGGAUAUGGAAUGGAAAGGAAGGAGUGAGAAGAGGGACCAGGAGCAACUUGUGCCAAACCUAAAAGGCAAUAAUAAUAAAGAUAGGCUUUUCUGAGCACCACUGAGUGCCAGGCACUGGUGUAAGUGUUACAAUGCUUAUAACUCAGUGCCCUCAUCAUGGAGUCCUCCUGCCAGCACCGCGUGGUGAAGUUCCAUUUUGCAGAGGAGGAAACUGAGAUCAACUGGCUUGUUCAAGUUCACGCACCUAGGAAGUGGUGGAGCCAGGUUUGACUCAGGCCGGCUGGUUCCAGAGCCCAUGGGCCUCAACUCAGCCAACGAGCCCAUUCGCCUUGCCAGGGCUUGGUUUCGCUGAAGCGGGGCUCCAGGCUGGAGUUAGUUUUGUGAAGGGGAUUAGCCCUGGUGGCCGCUGGCUGCUGACAGCUGGCAGUUGGAGUGGGCGAGGCUGAGGGGGCCCCUGGGCCUGGGCAGCUUGGGCAGGAGCCGGCGAGGAAGGGGAGGUGCCUCAGGGGGCCGCCUGGGUGUCGGUGCGGGUAGAAAGGCGGGAGAGACAGGCAGAGGCAGCCGUCUGGGUUGUACAACCUGCAGCCCACGCACGCCGAGAGCCACCAGCGUGGAGUCAGGAUGAGGAGUCCUCCUCCCACCUGGUGUGGGCUGGAGUCCCAGGAGCGGGUGCUGGAGUGGGAUAGCGGGGGAUCAGCUCAUCUGAAGCCCUGGUUGUGGGAUUUGCCCUGAUACAUUGCUUCGGCUGCCUGCAGGGGUGGGCUCUCCUAGUUCUCUGAAGGGUCAGAGGAUCGAGAAGGCGCCGUGUGGGAACCACCUGGAACAGGGCCUGGACUGUCACGCAUGGUGCUUGAGAAGGGAGAGGGCAGCUGUCACCUUUAACACCCACCCACCACCUUAUUUCCAGAUGGCACCCAGCACCCUUCUACGUACUGCUCUACUGGCACCUGCGCAGACAGCCAAAAGUCACCGGGAGCUGCAGCGUUCCGUUUUGGAGCAAAAGCGAGAUCAUGGAGUUGAAAGGGACUGAUUUUCACUUUCUUGCCUGGCUCCUAGGCUCACUCAAAGGGCACGUUUCAAAGAGGCUCUCUGGAACGAGGAGCCUUCUGUGGAGGGACCUGCUCCAUGGGACUUUAAGAAGGGGGUGGUGGGCUGUUUUGGGGGAAGAUGAGUGUAUGCCACACCCUCCACAAGCCAUUUGGCUGGCUCAUCCCAACGUGUUGCAGAGGCGGCUGGCCCGGGGCAGGGAGGCUCAUUCUGGCCAUCCCUGGGUUGCUUGUGGGGCUACUUUUCUGGCCAUGAUGACCCAUGAUUUAUUAUGACCCCAAGCACGACCUCUUAGACUUGGGAAGUGUGGUUCCUCCAAAGGGAUCAGAGAAUAGUGACAGAGUAAAUCCAAGAACGCUGUAGAAGGAAGACACUUCUUUAGGCCUCUUAGAGUUAACUGCUUCCUAUUCAACCUGGAAUUAGUUCACGGACCCUGCUGUCUUUGGUAAUACCUCGGUAAUUUUCCUUAAUAAUUGUAACAACUGUUUCACCUUGUUUUCCUCAAAUAUUAGGCUGUUAUUUCAACCAAGUGUGUUUUGGACUUUAACCAGAGACUAUGGCACAAAUUCUGAAGUCAGGUUUAUUUAUUUUUUAUUUUUUAAUUUUUUCCAGCUGUGGGCUGGCUCUGGCUCAGCCAUCUGAAAAUAAGUUAUUUAUAUAUAUGUGUGUAGCCAUAUAGAUAUACUCAUCCACAUAUACGAAGACCACUUCCAAGUCUUUUUUAGUUUGUUGCAUGUGACCCCACAGAAUUCCUUGGACCCAGCUGACCAGGGUUUGACACCCACUUCGUGUGAUCUGGCCAGACCCAGCUACUCCAAGCCCCUCUCCUCACAGGGAAAAUGGCAAAAAGCAGUGUGUAAAUGUCUUAUCAGGGCUCUGUAUACAUUAGAUGCUCAAUAAAGCUCUCAUUUGGGGAAGCUGGAUAACAGAAGUGG
rnacentral:lncRNA from 1 species